rnacentral:sRNA from 1 species
GAGAAGCUUCGACUAAGGUUCGACUCGAGCGAAGCGAGAGAACGUUGCCGCAGGCAACGGCCCGAAGGGCGAGGCGCUUUAGCGCCGA